UACGUAGGGUGCGAGCGUUGUCCGGAAUUAUUGGGCGUAAAGGGCUCGUAGGCGGUUUGUCGCGUCGGGAGUGAAAACCUCGGGCUUAACUCGGGGCUUGCUUUCGAUACGGGCAGACUAGAGGUAUGCAGGGGAGAACGGAAUUCCUGGUGUAGCGGUGAAAUGACGCAGAUAUCAGGAGGAACACCGGUGGCGAAGGCGGGUCUCUGGGCCGAUACUGACGCUGGAGGAGCGAAAGCGUGGGGAGCAACAGGAUAGA
rnacentral:rRNA from 1 species